rnacentral:rRNA from 1 species
GGGUUGUGAGGUUAAGCGACUAAGCGUACACGGUGGAUGCCCUGGCAGUCAGAGGCGAUGAAGGACGUGCUAAUCUGCGAUAAGCGUCGGUAAGGUGAUAUGAACCGUUAUAACCGGCGAUUUCCGAAUGGGGAAACCCAGUGUGUUUCGACACACUAUCAUUAACUGAAUCCAUAGGUUAAUGAGGCGAACCGGGGGAACUGAAACAUCUAAGUACCCCGAGGAAAAGAAAUCAACCGAGAUUCCCCCAGUAGCGGCGAGCGAACGGGGAGCAGCCCAGAGCCUGAAUCAGUGUGUGUGUUAGUGGAAGCGUCUGGAAAGGCGCGCGAUACAGGGUGACAGCCCCGUACACAAAAAUGCACAUGCUGUGAGCUCGAUGAGUAGGGCGGGACACGUGGUAUCCUGUCUGAAUAUGGGGGGACCAUCCUCCAAGGCUAAAUACUCCUGACUGACCGAUAGUGAACCAGUACCGUGAGGGAAAGGCGAAAAGAACCCCGGCGAGGGGAGUGAAAAAGAACCUGAAACCGUGUACGUACAAGCAGUGGGAGCACGCUUAGGCGUGUGACUGCGUACCUUUUGUAUAAUGGGUCAGCGACUUAUAUUCUGUAGCAAGGUUAACCGAAUAGGGGAGCCGAAGGGAAACCGAGUCUUAACUGGGCGUUAAGUUGCAGGGUAUAGACCCGAAACCCGGUGAUCUAGCCAUGGGCAGGUUGAAGGUUGGGUAACACUAACUGGAGGACCGAACCGACUAAUGUUGAAAAAUUAGCGGAUGACUUGUGGCUGGGGGUGAAAGGCCAAUCAAACCGGGAGAUAGCUGGUUCUCCCCGAAAGCUAUUUAGGUAGCGCCUCGUGAAUUCAUCUCCGGGGGUAGAGCACUGUUUCGGCAAGGGGGUCAUCCCGACUUACCAACCCGAUGCAAACUGCGAAUACCGGAGAAUGUUAUCACGGGAGACACACGGCGGGUGCUAACGUCCGUCGUGAAGAGGGAAACAACCCAGACCGCCAGCUAAGGUCCCAAAGUCAUGGUUAAGUGGGAAACGAUGUGGGAAGGCCCAGACAGCCAGGAUGUUGGCUUAGAAGCAGCCAUCAUUUAAAGAAAGCGUAAUAGCUCACUGGUCGAGUCGGCCUGCGCGGAAGAUGUAACGGGGCUAAACCAUGCACCGAAGCUGCGGCAGCGACGCUUAUGCGUUGUUGGGUAGGGGAGCGUUCUGUAAGCCUGCGAAGGUGUGCUGUGAGGCAUGCUGGAGGUAUCAGAAGUGCGAAUGCUGACAUAAGUAACGAUAAAGCGGGUGAAAAGCCCGCUCGCCGGAAGACCAAGGGUUCCUGUCCAACGUUAAUCGGGGCAGGGUGAGUCGACCCCUAAGGCGAGGCCGAAAGGCGUAGUCGAUGGGAAACAGGUUAAUAUUCCUGUACUUGGUGUUACUGCGAAGGGGGGACGGAGAAGGCUAUGUUGGCCGGGCGACGGUUGUCCCGGUUUAAGCGUGUAGGCUGGUUUUCCAGGCAAAUCCGGAAAAUCAAGGCUGAGGCGUGAUGACGAGGCACUACGGUGCUGAAGCAACAAAUGCCCUGCUUCCAGGAAAAGCCUCUAAGCAUCAGGUAACAUCAAAUCGUACCCCAAACCGACACAGGUGGUCAGGUAGAGAAUACCAAGGCGCUUGAGAGAACUCGGGUGAAGGAACUAGGCAAAAUGGUGCCGUAACUUCGGGAGAAGGCACGCUGAUAUGUAGGUGAGGUCCCUCGCGGAUGGAGCUGAAAUCAGUCGAAGAUACCAGCUGGCUGCAACUGUUUAUUAAAAACACAGCACUGUGCAAACACGAAAGUGGACGUAUACGGUGUGACGCCUGCCCGGUGCCGGAAGGUUAAUUGAUGGGGUUAGCGCAAGCGAAGCUCUUGAUCGAAGCCCCGGUAAACGGCGGCCGUAACUAUAACGGUCCUAAGGUAGCGAAAUUCCUUGUCGGGUAAGUUCCGACCUGCACGAAUGGCGUAAUGAUGGCCAGGCUGUCUCCACCCGAGACUCAGUGAAAUUGAACUCGCUGUGAAGAUGCAGUGUACCCGCGGCAAGACGGAAAGACCCCGUGAACCUUUACUAUAGCUUGACACUGAACAUUGAGCCUUGAUGUGUAGGAUAGGUGGGAGGCUUAGAAGUGUGGACGCCAGUCUGCAUGGAGCCGACCUUGAAAUACCACCCUUUAAUGUUUGAUGUUCUAACGUUGACCCGUAAUCCGGGUUGCGGACAGUGUCUGGUGGGUAGUUUGACUGGGGCGGUCUCCUCCUAAAGAGUAACGGAGGAGCACGAAGGUUGGCUAAUCCUGGUCGGACAUCAGGAGGUUAGUGCAAUGGCAUAAGCCAGCUUGACUGCGAGCGUGACGGCGCGAGCAGGUGCGAAAGCAGGUCAUAGUGAUCCGGUGGUUCUGAAUGGAAGGGCCAUCGCUCAACGGAUAAAAGGUACUCCGGGGAUAACAGGCUGAUACCGCCCAAGAGUUCAUAUCGACGGCGGUGUUUGGCACCUCGAUGUCGGCUCAUCACAUCCUGGGGCUGAAGUAGGUCCCAAGGGUAUGGCUGUUCGCCAUUUAAAGUGGUACGCGAGCUGGGUUUAGAACGUCGUGAGACAGUUCGGUCCCUAUCUGCCGUGGGCGCUGGAGAACUGAGGGGGGCUGCUCCUAGUACGAGAGGACCGGAGUGGACGCAUCACUGGUGUUCGGGUUGUCAUGCCAAUGGCACUGCCCGGUAGCUAAAUGCGGAAGAGAUAAGUGCUGAAAGCAUCUAAGCACGAAACUUGCCCCGAGAUGAGUUCUCCCUGACUCCUUGAGAGUCCUGAAGGAACGUUGAAGACGACGACGUUGAUAGGCCGGGUGUGUAAGCGCAGCGAUGCGUUGAGCUAACCGGUACUAAUGAACCGUGAGGCUUAACCUUACAACGCCGAAGGUGUUU